CGCCCGGCCAGCGGCCCGGAGGGAAAGGGGCCGAGAACUGCGGGACGUGAGGCAGCAGCGUGUGCAGAGGGCCAUGGCACCCUGGCCUGUGUCAGGAAUAGUGUGGCCUGAAGGACCAGGGAAAGGAUUGUCAGAUCCUGUGUCCAGUUCUGUGCCCUUCAGUACGAGGAGGACAUUGGGGUGCUGGAGGGAAUCCAGAGAAUGGCAACAAAGCUGGUAAAGGGUCUGGAGCACAAGUCCUUUGAGGAGCAGCUGAGGGAGCUGGAGUGAAAGCGUAGGUGUGGCAGCAGGGGGAGGAAAUGCAGCUGGAUGUCACAUCUGUGCCUGAUGAUAUUUACCAGUGCCUUGUUAGAGAGUGCGUGUUAGCUCCGCGUCACGUUCCUUCUGACGUGGUAUGAUCUGCAUGUAAUGACAGCAAUUGCUGAGCUGUGAGCCACCAUGAUAAAUUAUUCUGACGGAGAUAGAAGAAAGCCACCUUCCCUGUGCUUCCCAUCACUUGCUAAUAAUCUUGUUCUUUCUGAAGACCCUGUGACAAUGCAGCAGUCACCCUUCACCAGUGGGCACUGUGAAAUGAUGAGGCAGUACCUUUCUGCAGGGUACACAUUGAUAACGCCAUGAGGCCACUAUUCCCUUGGCUAAGCUUUGCUAGAAGCAAAGAGAUGGGAGGCAUUUUGUCCUAUAGCAAUGCACACAUCUAAAAUUAGGGAGUUAAGAUUUAUUUUCCUUGUCUGCUUUCUCCCAUAAGGGCUUGAUCUUUUUACACUUGUGUCAGUGAAACUCGGGAGUAAUUCUGAUGAGGUCAGUGAAGCUGUAUGAGUGCGCAGCUGAUGUAACUGGAGGCAGACACAAUCAAGCAUAAUUCAUAGAGUCACAGAAUGCUUUGAGUUGCAAGGAGCCUUAUAGAUCAUCUAGUUCCAACCUCCCCACCUUGGGCUGGGACAUCUUUCACUACACCAGGUUACUCAGAGCCCCAUCCAACCUGGCCUUUAACACUGACAAGGUUAAGGCAUCUAUCUCUUCUCUGGGGAACCUGCUCCAGUGCCUCACCACCCUCAUAUUAAAGAAUUUCUUUCUAACAUCUAAUAUAAGCCUACCUUCUUUCAGUUUAAGGCCGUUCCCCAUGUCCUGUCUCUGCAGUUCCUGACAACAAAUUCCUGUCCAGCUUCCCUGUGUCUUCCAUCAGAUACUGGAAAGCUGCUGUUAGGUCUUCAUACAACCUUCUCUUCUCCAGGCUGAACAGCCCCAACUCUCUCAGCCUGUGUUCAUAGAACAGGUGCUCCAGUCCUGUUAUCAACUUUGUGGCCCUCUCUGGACUUGCUCCAACAGUUUCAUGUUUUAACGUUGGGAUCACCAGAGCUGGAUGUGGCACUCCAGGUGGGGUCUCACAAGUGCAGAGUACAGGGGCAGAAUCCCCUUCCUUGCCCUGCUGGCCAUACUGCUUUGAAUGCAGCCUGGGAUUCAGUUGGCUUUUUGGGCUGUGAGCACACAUUGCUUGGUCAUGUUGAGUUUUUUGUCAACCAUCAUCACUCUGUGGUGGUUGAGGUUACAGACAGUUGCAGUUCUCACUGCUGGAUUGGGUCUGAAGGGAGAAUAAUUCUUGAGUUGAACUGAAAGGCUGGGAGAAGUUUCCUUGCUAGGCAGUGCAUCCAGCACAUCACUGACUUACUGACCACUGUGGGAAGCAGUGUCAUGUUUUCCUGGAUUUCCUUGAAAAUCUAUUGUAGCUUCCCCCAGCCAUAAAUUCUCAUGUUUAGCUGCAUUCCAGAUCUAUUAAUAAAUAGAAACCCUUUAGAUGGGGUGAUGGAAAGCUGUUUUGGGGGUUUUAUUGUAUUAAAGGAUUUCUGAUAUGAUAACACAGACUAAAGGCUUUUGAAUCAAAAUUGCUAUAAAGGAAGCUUUUAAAUAUAUAUUCUACAUAAGGAGAAAAUAAACCCAAAAUAAGCAAACUAGCUUCAGCUAAACACGUGCAUAGAAAGCAUCAUCUUGAAAAGAGUAGGCAAUAGUCAUCUUUGUAAAUCCAUUUGUACCCAUUUGAGAUAGUCUAGUUUAUCCUAGGAGCAUGUGGUAGAGUAAGGAAGACAAAUGGAGAAGACAAACAAGGAAGAAAAAAGCUGUCCUUUCAGUGCUGAGCUGCUUGAUGAAUUGUGACUUUUUUGUUUGUGUAAAAAGUUAGCUGGAAAGUUGGAUUAUAGAGACUGCAUAACAGUUGCAAUGAAAAGUAGGAAAAUGUCUCUCAUGGUUGCUGUGAAUGUGUAGUCCUUUGUCAUGCUCUGGUGUUUUUUAGCCUGGGGAGUACAACAGUGGGUGUAUAAAUUAACUGUUAUUAUGAAAAGGUGUCUGUGCCAGACAAUCUACUGAGAAAGUAGGUGUCAUAGAUCUACUGUGUGGUAGUUGUGAGUCAGAUGGUUUAACACAAUGGGAGAACUUGCUAACUGGAGUGUAGCAAUGUGGCCACUGGGGACUUGGGUGUAACGAACAAUAAGGAAAGUGAUGCAUACUAGAUAUGUCUCAUCGUUCAUAGCAGGACUGUAGGCAGGAGAAGAGACAAUAAACUGAAGGAUGGGAAGGAGAAAGAAGUCAUCAAUAGGGAACAUGAUUAACACACUUUUCUUACUGCAGUGUACAGUCAUACUAUCACCUCCUUCAGUUGCCUGUUAAUCAAGCAAUUGACAGGUGUUGGAACA